AACGAACGUUAGCGGCGCGCUUAAUACAUGCAAGUCGAGCGAGAAAGGGCUUCGGCCCAAGUAAAGUGGCGCACGGGUGAGUAACACGUAGGUAAUCUACCUUAGAGUCUGGAAUAACCUGCCGAAAGGCGGGCUAAUACUGGAUAGAGCGAGAAACUUAUAGUGAGUUUUUCGGGAAAGGGAGCCUGAAAGGGCCCUUGCUUUAAGAUGAGCCUGCGUCCCAUCAGCUAGUUGGUAAGGCAAUGGCUUACCAAGGCAAUGACGGGUAGCUGGUCUGAGAGGAUGAUCAGCCACACUGGAACUGAAACACGGUCCAGACUCCUACGGGAGGCAGCAGUGGGGAAUCUUGCGCAAUGGACGAAAGUCUGACGCAGCCACGCCGCGUGAGUGAAGAAGGCCUUCGGGUUGUAAAGCUCUGUCGCUCGGGACGAAAAAGCAGUGGGUUAAUAGCCCAUUGAACUGACGGUACCGAGAGAGGAAGCACCGGCUAACUUCGUGCCAGCCGCCGCCGUAA
rnacentral:rRNA from 1 species